rnacentral:piRNA from 1 species
UUGACCAGAUUCAUGAAGGGCAGCCC